UCAUGAGAGUAUCUGCAAUAAAGAAACAACAGUACAUCUCUUUUGUCAGUUAGCUGUCUGCUUCAAGAUGUGAGUCCAGAUGUCUACCAGGAAACAGAUGUAUAAACUACAAAAAAGAUACAUCAGCUACAUUAUUCGUUUCCUCAGAGACAUUCAUCAGUAUUGUAGUCAUGACACAAUAACUAAAUUAAAAAAGAAAAUCAUUGGAUUCGAUCAGAAAUGUGUGAGUCAAGUCUAGAAUAACACAUGGAGUAAGCAAGAAUAAUAUGCAUGAAAAAAAACGGACACCGUUGUUUCUUCCUUCAUAUGUAUUGAGAGCCAGACUGGAAGUAAUCCAAGCAGCUUCAUUUUUGCCUGAAGUAGCAAAAGAAGUAAGAAAUUGCCUCUUUUAAACUGUAUUUCAAGCUUCUAUUGUUUAAGAUUCCUAAGAAAAGUACAGAGGGUAAAGGCAGUUAGUAAAUUAUUUUAAGAAUCUAAGAGAUACAACUAUAAAGAAAUCUUUAAAGAUGCUUCCUUACAGCCUGUUUCAACAUCAUAAAACCACUUACGCAUUCUGGGUGUAUUAUCUUCUCCUGCACCGGAACAGCAAGUUGAUGCAUCAGUUCUCGCCAGAAGACAAUAUUGCAUCAGUUCUACCAACUGUUUUUUAUAUCACUCAAGGUAAAAUACGUAUACUGUACUGCAAGAGACCUUUCAGGAGCUCUCUAGCAAUGGUACAGUAGGGUUCCUCAUACCCUUUCAUCUCCUUCAUACCUCAUUUAGUAACUACAGUUUUUCCAAAUUUUUCAUCCUUUUUUUUUCAUCCUUUCUUUGGAAAUAUAUUUCUCCAGUUAACUCAAUAACAAAAGAAAUCUAUUUCCAUUAUCGUCCUGACUGAGAAAACAGGUUUAUGGUAUUUUAUUGAAGGGUUUUAUUUAAUGCAUGUAUACACAACAGAAGUAACUGAUCAAAAACUUCCUUAAAAUGCUUCAGGAAAAAAAAAUAAUCAUACAGAAAGAGCACCAUUACCAAAGUCCCAUGACUUCUAGUUUUCACAUAAAAAAAAAAAAAAAAAAAAAAAAAAAAGCUCUUCCUUUAGCAUAUAAUGGAUUGUGAAGUAUGUGCAACCAAACACAAAGAUUAUAGUACCAGAAAGUCAAUAUGAGUAUUUUAUGAAUCCAGGUGGAUAUGAAACAAGAAUUGAUCUAACUCUAUAAAGUCCCUUUCUGACCAUGUUACAUGCCAUAACUCAAACUUCUGUUUAUUCUGUUUGAACUCAACAUGGAAAAAAAAAUCCAUAAAAUGAAAUGCAAUAGUAAAUAAAGGAUGUUAGUGUUUGGACGUAACAUCAAAACUGUCAGCACCUGUAGAAGAGUUACUUUGGGAAAACUGUUUAUGUCUCUUUUUAUCUUUCUGCCUCCAAUUGUCAAUUCUGAGUGUAUGGAAGCUGCAAAAACUUCAGUUAGUUUCUGUUCAAUGUAAUGCAUGUUAUUUUCUGCUCAUAUACAGUCAAUGUUUCAGUAAUAGCUCACCACCUGCAAAAAAGGUGAUUUCUGUAGUAUAUUACUGCAAAAUUAUAUAGCCAUAGGGAGAAACAGUAGUGGCUGCAGCAGCAAGCAUUCUUUAAAGUGUUUUUAGUACUUGAUGUCAUUAAAAAUGAUGUUGGUAGUGUACAUAAAAGAAUUGUACUUUGUUUUUUGAAAGUGAGCAACAAAUUAUUGUUUAUUCACUGAACUUCUGCAGUUCCUAUACACCUCAAAAAUACAGCAUUAUGUUUUGAUAGUGUUGAGAAAAUGUAGGCAUAAAGGCCUAUGCUGUC